GCAAGUAAUGAUUGAGGGAAGGGAGCUGAUCCGAAGAACCUUUGACGAUAGCUCCACCUCUCUCGACCAUUCACUGGUAAUAAUGGCCGUCAACUUCUUAAUGUUUUCCCUAAAGAAGGCAGAUUCUAUAGGAUCUGUGGAAGGGAUGGGAACUUGCAGUUUCCUUGUGCAGAGAUAAUUCGAGGUGUUUCCGAAAUCUUCAAAAAGAUCAUCCUCGAAUUCUAUUGGGAGUUCCGAAGGUUGAAUCUCCGAAGCUCGUGGUUCGGGUGAGGGUCCUAGGGCUGAAUCUAAGGAUGUGGAAGGUGAAGGAUCAGAUUCGGCUGCUAGAAUGUCCUUAUGGCUUGAUGCACGCUCUUCUCGGAAGGGUUCGGACUCG
rnacentral:lncRNA from 1 species